rnacentral:rRNA from 1 species
UACGUAGGGGGCAAGCGUUGUCCGGAUUUAUUGGGCGUAAAGAGCGUGUAGGCGGCUUGGCAAGUCCGCUGUGAAAACUCGAGGCUCAACCUCGAGCUGUCGGUGGAAACUGCUUGGCUAGAGUCCGGAAGAGGAGUGUGGAAUUCCUGGUGUAGCGGUGAAAUGCGCAGAUAUCAGGAAGAACACCUAUGGCGAAGGCAGCACUCUGGGACGGUACUGACGCUGAGACGCGAAAGCGUGGGGAGCGAACAGG